UAACAGAUGACACACGAUUGGAUUGGUUACCUUUCAUGUAGACUAGUAAAAAUUAUGUUAGGGGAAGUCAAGUGGAAGCCUUUGAAAUCUCUUUUAUGGCCAACAUAGUAAAUUAAAAAGAGUGAAAAUCCUUCACAUGCUGGAAAUGGCAUAUUCAGCACAUAGUUUAGACUGACAAUGAGAGCCCUGGAAAAUGCAAGACUGGAAGACUGGAGACAAAGAAAUCUGGAAUAAAGUCAGGUGGAUGGACCCUUGGGAAGUCAUUAAACAUUCACAGCUUUAUUUCUUACAUCACUGCCCAGCAGACAGCAUUUAUUGCAGAGAAAUCACUGAAUCAACAAUCAGAGAAAGAGCCUGGGAAAACCAAUUGCUUCAACAUCUUCCCUGCUUAUAUGUAGCUUGAGCUGACAGGCAAGCAAAUUGGAUGAGCAGAAAUUCCAGUCAAAUGUUAUUAUUUUGGAAACUGUAACCAGAUGCCAUGUUGAAGAAUCAAUGUCCUCAGAGUAAAGUCAAGACCUUAGUUGUUCAAGGGGGAGAUUGAAUCUGGUAGAUCUCCAAAUAAUAAUACCUCCAAUAAUAAUAGAAAUAUUUUAAUGAAAUAUCUCUAAGAGAAUGGAGUAAC